CCGUGCCGCUCGCCUCUGCCGCAUCAGCGCUGGCCCCUCCCCGCCCGCCGCCCGCGGCCCAACCGCACCGCAUCUGCAUGGAGCAAAGUGAAAAAUGACACUGCAGGAUAUACAGUUCUUGAAGGAAAAUUCAAGUAUCCUGCUGUUCCUAUGAAGUGGCAUGUGACUUUGAAAAAUGUAGAAGACUAUGUAAAAACCUGCUCAGGGAUACACAUCUAAUUUCAGUAUGAAGCAAGGCUGGGAGGGAAAGAAGAACAGCAAUAGAAUCACCUUCUUCUUCUCAUUAAUAGAGCAAAAUAAAACAGAAUCAUCUUGAGCCUGGCAAGUAAAUAUUGUAAAAUCUUCACAUUUUGUCAAGUGGGAAAGUAAGAGAAGUUACUCAGUACUUGAACCUGUACAGAACAUAUUUUACAUGUAUGUGGGUUUUGGGGGUGACAAUACUGGAAAUGUUAUUUCUGCAUUGACAGCAUCAGUCACUACUGUGACAGUACUGGCAGCUCUCCAGUAUCUCCCCUAUCCUUUUCAGAAAAGAGGAAGGAGGCCUUGCAAAUACUGAUGUUUAGCAUGGACAGAAUGGUUCUAAUCUACAUGAUGGAGCUGGUUUAUUUUGCCCUUCCCUGAGAUAUUAUGUUCUCACCUUGUAUUUUUCCAAAGACAAAAGGGUCUAUGAGCAUAACACACUGCACAUGAAAUUCCAACUCCGCCGGAGUCCUUGGCAAAGGGUACAACAAACAGCCAGUUUACUCUCCACUACUUAACACAACAGUAACACCAGUCUGGGCCAAGAAGGCACCUCCCUUCAGCAUCUGUGCACUCUGCCUGGCCUCACAAGAGCCUGUCCAGAUCCCUUUGUAAAACCUUCCUGCCCUCCAGCAAAUCAAAAACUCCAGUGAUGACCAGCUGCCAGCUAGAUAUAACUCCAUUUACCACCACUCCCUGGGGUCAGCCAUCCAUCCAGUUUUUACCAGCAAAAACCACGCCCAUUCAAGCAAAGAGCUGCCAGUUUCUCCAGGAGAGUGUUGUGGCAAACCAAGUCAAAGGCUUUACUAAAGUUCAUGUAGGCAACAUCCACAGCCUUUCCCUCAACCACUAAGAGAGUCUCACUUCACCACAAAAUCAGGUGAACUGGGUCAAGCAGGACCUGCCUUUCAUGAACCUGUUCAGGCUGGGAACGAUCCCCAGAUUGUCCUGUAUGUGCUGCGUGAUGCUGCUCAGGAUGAUCUGCUCCAUGACCUUCCUUGGCACUGAGGUCAGGCUGACAGGGAACUUCCCUGGAUCCUCCUUCUAACCCAUGUGAUAGAUGGGCUUCACAUUUGCUGAUCUUCAGUCAAUUGGGACCCAUUCCUCCUUGUUACCCAGGGCUGCUGGUAAAUGAUGGAAGGUGCCUCGGCACCUUUCACCAGCUUCCAGAGUCCCCUCAGCUGGAUCCCAUCCAACCCCACAGACCUGUGUGUGUCCAAGUGGUGCAGCAUUUCCCCUUGGGUUAUGGGGGCUUCAUUCUGCUCCCCAUCCUUGUCUUCCAUCUCAAGGGACUGGGUACCCAAGAACAACUGGCCUUACUAUUAACGACUGAGGCUAAGGCGGCAUUAAGUACUUCAUCUAUUUUCUCAAUCUUUCUCACCAUUGUUUCCCCCUGCACCCAGUACGGAAUGGAGGUUCUCCUCAGCCUUCCUUUUGGUCCUGAUGGAUUACGGAGUGUGGAUUCCCCUGUGAAGGUGACACUGAGAAGCUAUUACUGCAAUGACUUCUAAAACUGAAAGAAAUGUCACUUUGCAAGGCAUUUUAUCCCAAAAAUUAAGCAGCACAUUUGAGUAGGAACAACUACAUAGGAACAACUUCUAUCUGCAAAUACACAAAAAAUGAACCAUGUGUUCUGUCCUUUCUGAGAAAAAAGAUCAUAUGGAAAACUUAUUAUUGAAAAUAUAUAGAUAAUAAAUUAUGCAAAUUGUGAUACAAUCCCAAAAAAGUUACACUAAUAGUCUGUAAAAAGAACCACUGGAACCAUUUUCUUUGUAAAUACCUCCACAUUUAUGUGACCAAGGUGGUUGAGAGAAUUCUUUCUUGUUGUUAUUGCUCUUCCAUGUAAACUCACCAAAAACUGUCCUUUAUUGCUCCUCAAUCACUUCAAACUUUACAAUUUCUAUGGUCUGUCAUUUCGAGCCUACACUGGUUGUUUGUUUGGUGCAAUUUGAGCAGUUACAAAUGUUUUCAUUUUUCCUAGGAGCAAAGUGGAUGCUUUUUUGUGAAGUCAAAAUUGUAGCUCCCAUCCAGACAUAAUUUUCUCCACUCACCAUUAGAGAGGUUCAUGGACAACUUUCUUGGGCAUCACAUCUGGGUCAAAUCACAGUUAACUUGUUCUUCUUAUUUUUAAGUUAAAAAGAAUCUCCUAAGGAGGAACAGAAUGAGGAGGAAGCCUUUAACAAAAACCCUAGACAAUAUUCCCAGUGUGCAUGCAAAUGCUUUCCCUAAGAUUAUGAGCCAAAUCCUUACUGUGUGGCAAAUAUUAGCACUCCACUGACUUAAGUAGGUCAGUUCACAUGAGAAAGAUUAGCAAAACUGUGCUCUAAAUUUGUAGCACAAUGCAAAUUUGUGAGCCAACACUUGCAGAUAACUAGCUAUGCCAUUUUAAAAUGCUACUUAUUAUCAAUCCCACCUAUGACCUGCCUAAUUUGAUCUGGUCAAAUACCCAGGGAGAAGGUAGUGAAGAAGGAAGCUUUAAUCAAAAGUAUAUCAGUUAUUUGGACUUUCAUAGUAGUUCACAAUCCUAGUUAUAAAACAACCCUCUAAUUGUGCUGAAUACAGUACAAACAGAGAAACGAAAGUGUCCUAUCUUAAAGAAUUUAUAAGUAAACUAUAAAAUAUAAGAGCUACAUACAGAUCAGCAGCGACAUUUAGGUAAACAGUGAGUCAGUAAUGAGGAUGGAGUCCUGGUUUAGAGCUUUCUUCAAAAGAAGGUCAUUAGAGACUGUGGAGAGAAGCAAUAAACUAGAUUCAUGGGGUUGAAAAAUAACUGCGUAACAAGAAUAAAACAAGCUUAGACAUAAAAGGAGGAGAACUAUUCAGCAGGUCAAGGAGGAAAGUAAAAGGCAAGAGCAGGCAUGACACAGAUGGCAAUAUAGACUGUGGGUGUCAGUAAAAGAGUUAACAGGAGCAAAACAAAAAUUGGAUCUGUGCCAGGAGGAGAAAGAAAGGCCAGGGAAAGAAAAUAUUUAAAGACAGGAAUAAACCUAUGAGAAAGAUAAAGAUUUUAACAAAGGGUCCAGGCCAUUAGUUAUUAGCAGUUAGUAGUUAGUUGUGGGUAUCCUCUGUUCUAUGUAUCAAUGUUAUCUGUUAGUUAUCUGUUUAAUGUACUGUUGUACCCUAAAACCCAAUCGUAAAUGCACUGAUUCUGUGGUUCGAAUGUUACAUUCAUCCCGUCCCGUACUUUCCCUGCACCCCUACCUUAGUCUGUAAGCCCUGCUGCUCUCCGAGACACCGCCCACAUACCAGCCUGCCCAUCAACUUGGGGGCCUCGCCCACUCCUCGCCUGCUCUGGGCCUGUCACCGCCUCUAUGCAAAUCAAGUAUAGCCAGAAGUGAGUUUAGAACCAAAGAACCGCUCAGAACAGCGAGCCCGAUCAAGACCCGGAGAGACGGAAUGCAGCACUGAGUGGGGAAAGAGCCAAGGUAGCUGCCAGUAUCAUCUAUAAACACCGAGAGGAGUCGCCAUAACCUCUGAAGUCCCUGCUAAGAGUCACCCCCCUAGACAUUCGAGCCAUCAGCGAGCCUAGGGACUCCCGUGAGGCGUGGCUUCCGGCUCUGCGACGACAGCGACGCAGAUCCGACGAGACCUCCUCCUCGGCGGUGUCCGGCUGGUGCAGCGUGGGCAAGGGCAUCCCUACCCCGAGCCGUCCCUCUGCUGAAAUCACUAAUAAAGGCAUUAAAAGGAGAUAA